rnacentral:rRNA from 1 species
AUUGAACGCUGGCGGCAGGCUUAACACAUGCAAGUCGAGCGGGGUGAUGGUGCUUGCACUAUCACUUAGCGGCGGACGGGUGAGUAAUGCUUAGGAAUCUGCCUAUUAGUGGGGGACAACAUCUCGAAAGGGAUGCUAAUACCGCAUACGUCCUACGGGAGAAAGCAGGGGAUCACUUGUGACCUUGUGCUAAUAGAUGAGCCUAAGUCGGAUUAGCUAGUUGGUGGGGUAAAGGCCUACCAAGGCGACGAUCUGUAGCGGGUCUGAGAGGAUGAUCCGCCACACUGGGACUGAGACACGGCCCAGACUCCUACGGGAGGCAGCAGAGGGGAAUUUUGGACAAUGGGCGAAAGCCUGAUCCAGCAAUGCCGCGUGUGUGAAGAAGGCCUUCGGGUUGUAAAGCACUUUUGUCCGGAAAGAAAUGGCUCUGGUUAAUGCCUGGGGUCGAUGACGGUACCGGAAGAAUAAGGACCGGCUAACUACGUGCCAGCCGCCGCGGUAA